CUGUGAUCUUAUUAUGAUCUUUUAAAAUUCCCAGACUUAAGUUCUUUCUAUUACUCCCACUUCCCUUUAGCAAAUUAUUGAAAUUAUCUUUUACUAAAGGGUAGUUUACCCCCUUCCAUGUUUAAAAAAAAAAAGCAACCAUAAUUCUUUCAGUUGCAUGACUUUGUAACCAGAAAUCAGGAUUCUUUUUUAGGUUUCUGAUGUUGCCUGCUUCCUCUUCCAACUCAUGCAGUCACAAGCACCAAAAGAGAUUCCUGUUGGCUAAUCCUAUUGACAAUAAACAGACUUAAUGGUUGUUUAAGCACAUCAGACUACUCACCCUUUGAAUACACAGAAACCAGAUGUAACUUUAGGUCAGAAUCUGUUAAAAUGAAGCUCCACUUUUGUAAGCCCCACCAAUACCCUGCUGACAAUGGAUCAGUAAAGGUCAUGGGUUUCUCCCAAUGACGCACCUUCCUGCAUGGCUUCAAGACAUGCUAUGCCUCAGGAUCUUUGAUUUAGACCUGGGAGGGGACUGAAAGAUCAUCCACUCCUGACCCCCAAAGAAUGAAGGUUGUUGCUACCCUAGUGCCUGCUCCUAUCAAAUCACGUCCAUCUGCUCUGUGUCUUGAAUGUACGUAUCUCCUUUGUUAGAACAUGAGCUCCUUGAGGGCAAGACUGUUUUGCCUUUCUUUGUAUCUCUAGCAAUUAGUACAAUGCCUGGGAUAUUUUUGUUGUUUUUCACUCA
rnacentral:lncRNA from 1 species